GCCGGGCAUGGUGGCACAUGCCUGUAAUCCCAACUACUCGGGAGGCUGAGGCAGCAGAAUCGCUUGAACCCGGGAGGCAGAGGUUGCAGUGAGCUGAGAUUGCGCCACUGCACUCCAGCCUGGGUGACAGAGCGAGACUCUGUCUCAA
ensembl:misc_RNA Metazoa_SRP Metazoan signal recognition particle RNA